GCUGCCUUCCAGUUGCCAUGCUUCCUGCCGUGAUGGCCAAAGGCUCUAACCAUCUGGAACUGGCCGCAUUGCUUAAUGAAAAGAACCAAACGUCCCUAUCAUAAAGCAUUCCAGCUGUUGAAUGACCCUGAGCCACACUGUGGGACGGUGUGCUUUAGGAAGUGAAAAGGGAUCCCGUGUCCAGUUGAACCUUCGAGGAGAAAAGGGACCGCAAGUCCGACAGCAGAUAAGCCCGGCCUUUGUCCAAAUGUGCCCAGGAAACUAGCUUCAGAAACAGCAAAUGAAAUCCAGAC